GAUGAACGCUGGCGGCGUGCCUAAUACAUGCAAGUCGAGCGAGCGGCGGACGGGAGAGAAAUGUAUGGGGAUCUGCCCGAUAGAGGGGGAUAACUACUGGAAACGGUGGCUAAUACCGCAUACUAUCGGAUGAACCCAUGUGGGAUUAGCUAGUAGGUGGGUUAAAGGCUCACCUAGGAGACGAUCGCUAGCUGGUCUGAGAGGAUGAUCAGCCACACUGGAACUGAGACACGGUCCAGACUCCUACGGGAGGCAGCAGUGGGGAAUAUUGCACAAUGGGCGCAAGCCUGAUGGAGCAAUGCCGCGUGUGUGAAGAAGGCCUUAGGGUUGUAAAGUACUGUCAGCGGGGAGGCGUUACCCGAAGAAGAAGCACCGGCUAACUCCGUGCCAGCAGCCGCGGUAAUAC
rnacentral:rRNA from 1 species